GGGGGUGUAGCUCAAUGGUUAGAGCAGACGCCUUAUAAGCGUCAGAUCCUGGUUCAAUUCCCGGCAUCCCUACCA
rnacentral:tRNA from 1 species